rnacentral:rRNA from 1 species
UUAAGCGACUAAGCGUACACGGUGGAUGCCCUGGCAGUCAGAGGCGAUGAAGGACGUGCUAAUCUGCGAUAAGCGUCGGUAAGGUGAUAUGAACCGUUAUAACCGGCGAUUUCCGAAUGGGGAAACCCAGUGUGUUUCGUCACACUAUCAUUAACUGAAUCCAUAGGUUAAUGAGGCGAACCGGGGGAACUGAAACAUCUAAGUACCCCGAGGAAAAGAAAUCAACCGAGAUUCCCCCAGUAGCGGCGAGCGAACGGGGAGCAGCCCAGAGCCUGAAUCAGUGUGUGUGUUAGUGGAAGCGUCUGGAAAGGCGCGCGAUACAGGGUGACAGCCCCGUACACAAAAAUGCACAUGCUGUGAGCUCGAUGAGUAGGGCGGGACACGUGGUAUCCUGUCUGAAUAUGGGGGGACCAUCCUCCAAGGCUAAAUACUCCUGACUGACCGAUAGUGAACCAGUACCGUGAGGGAAAGGCGAAAAGAACCCCGGCGAGGGGAGUGAAAAAGAACCUGAAACCGUGUACGUACAAGCAGUGGGAGCAUGCUUCGGCGUGUGACUGCGUACCUUUUGUAUAAUGGGUCAGCGACUUAUAUUCUGUAGCAAGGUUAACCGAAUAGGGGAGCCGAAGGGAAACCGAGUCUUAACUGGGCGUUAAGUUGCAGGGUAUAGACCCGAAACCCGGUGAUCUAGCCAUGGGCAGGUUGAAGGUUGGGUAACACUAACUGGAGGACCGAACCGACUAAUGUUGAAAAAUUAGCGGAUGACUUGUGGCUGGGGGUGAAAGGCCAAUCAAACCGGGAGAUAGCUGGUUCUCCCCGAAAGCUAUUUAGGUAGCGCCUCGUGAAUUCAUCUCCGGGGGUAGAGCACUGUUUCGGCAAGGGGGUCAUCCCGACUUACCAACCCGAUGCAAACUGCGAAUACCGGAGAAUGUUAUCACGGGAGACACACGGCGGGUGCUAACGUCCGUCGUGAAGAGGGAAACAACCCAGACCGCCAGCUAAGGUCCCAAAGUCAUGGUUAAGUGGGAAACGAUGUGGGAAGGCCCAGACAGCCAGGAUGUUGGCUUAGAAGCAGCCAUCAUUUAAAGAAAGCGUAAUAGCUCACUGGUCGAGUCGGCCUGCGCGGAAGAUGUAACGGGGCUAAACCAUGCACCGAAGCUGCGGCAGCGACACUAUGUGUUGUUGGGUAGGGGAGCGUUCUGUAAGCCUGUGAAGGUGUACUGUGAGGUAUGCUGGAGGUAUCAGAAGUGCGAAUGCUGACAUAAGUAACGAUAAAGCGGGUGAAAAGCCCGCUCGCCGGAAGACCAAGGGUUCCUGUCCAACGUUAAUCGGGGCAGGGUGAGUCGACCCCUAAGGCGAGGCCGAAAGGCGUAGUCGAUGGGAAACAGGUUAAUAUUCCUGUACUUGGUGUUACUGCGAAGGGGGGACGGAGAAGGCUAUGUUGGCCGGGCGACGGUUGUCCCGGUUUAAGCGUGUAGGCUGGUUUUCCAGGCAAAUCCGGAAAAUCAAGGCUGAGGCGUGAUGACGAGGCACUAUGGUGCUGAAGCAACAAAUGCCCUGCUUCCAGGAAAAGCCUCUAAGCAUCAGGUAACACCAAAUCGUACCCCAAACCGACACAGGUGGUCAGGUAGAGAAUACCAAGGCGCUUGAGAGAACUCGGGUGAAGGAACUAGGCAAAAUGGUGCCGUAACUUCGGGAGAAGGCACGCUGAUAUGUAGGUGAAGCGACUUGCUCGUGGAGCUGAAAUCAGUCGAAGAUACCAGCUGGCUGCAACUGUUUAUUAAAAACACAGCACUGUGCAAACACGAAAGUGGACGUAUACGGUGUGACGCCUGCCCGGUGCCGGAAGGUUAAUUGAUGGGGUUAGCGGUAACGCGAAGCUCUUGAUCGAAGCCCCGGUAAACGGCGGCCGUAACUAUAACGGUCCUAAGGUAGCGAAAUUCCUUGUCGGGUAAGUUCCGACCUGCACGAAUGGCGUAAUGAUGGCCAGGCUGUCUCCACCCGAGACUCAGUGAAAUUGAACUCGCUGUGAAGAUGCAGUGUACCCGCGGCAAGACGGAAAGACCCCGUGAACCUUUACUAUAGCUUGACACUGAACAUUGAGCCUUGAUGUGUAGGAUAGGUGGGAGGCUUUGAAGUGUGGACGCCAGUCUGCAUGGAGCCGACCUUGAAAUACCACCCUUUAAUGUUUGAUGUUCUAACGUUGACCCGUAAUCCGGGUUGCGGACAGUGUCUGGUGGGUAGUUUGACUGGGGCGGUCUCCUCCUAAAGAGUAACGGAGGAGCACGAAGGUUGGCUAAUCCUGGUCGGACAUCAGGAGGUUAGUGCAAUGGCAUAAGCCAGCUUGACUGCGAGCGUGACGGCGCGAGCAGGUGCGAAAGCAGGUCAUAGUGAUCCGGUGGUUCUGAAUGGAAGGGCCAUCGCUCAACGGAUAAAAGGUACUCCGGGGAUAACAGGCUGAUACCGCCCAAGAGUUCAUAUCGACGGCGGUGUUUGGCACCUCGAUGUCGGCUCAUCACAUCCUGGGGCUGAAGUAGGUCCCAAGGGUAUGGCUGUUCGCCAUUUAAAGUGGUACGCGAGCUGGGUUUAGAACGUCGUGAGACAGUUCGGUCCCUAUCUGCCGUGGGCGCUGGAGAACUGAGGGGGGCUGCUCCUAGUACGAGAGGACCGGAGUGGACGCAUCACUGGUGUUCGGGUUGUCAUGCCAAUGGCACUGCCCGGUAGCUAAAUGCGGAAGAGAUAAGUGCUGAAAGCAUCUAAGCACGAAACUUGCCCCGAGAUGAGUUCUCCCUGACUCCUUGAGAGUCCUGAAGGAACGUUGAAGACGACGACGUUGAUAGGCCGGGUGUGUAAGCGCAGCGAUGCGUUGAGCUAACCGGUACUAAUGAACCGUGAGGCUUAACCUU